rnacentral:rRNA from 1 species
GACGGAGGGGGCUAGCGUUGUUCGGAAUGACUGGGCGUAAAGGGCGCGUAGGCGGUUUUUUAAGUGAGGCGUGAAAGCCCUGGGCUUAACCCAGGAGGUGCGUUUCAUACUGAAAGACUUGAGUACGAGAGAGGAAAGCGGAAUUCCUAGUGUAGAGGUGAAAUUCGUAGAUAUUAGGAAGAACACCAGUGGCGAAGGCGGCUUUCUGGCUCGUAACUGACGCUGAGGCGCGAAAGCGUGGGGAGCAAACAGG